rnacentral:rRNA from 1 species
UACGAAGGGGGCAAGCGUUGUUCGGAAUUACUGGGCGUAAAGGGCGCGUAGGCGGCUUAUCAAGUCAGGCGUGAAAUUCCCGGGCUCAACCUGGGGGCUGCGCUUGAUACUGGUGUAGCUGAAUGCGGGAGAGGAUAGUGGAAUUCCCAGUGUAGAGGUGAAAUUCGUAGAUAUUGGGAAGAACACCGGUGGCGAAGGCGGCUAUCUGGCCCGUAAUUGACGCUGAGGCGCGAAAGCGUGGGGAGCA